UCCGCGGCAUGUGGGAUCUUCCUGGACCGGGGCACGAACCCGCGUCCCCUGCAUCGGCAGGCGGACUCUCAACCACUGUGCCACCAGGGAAGCCCCGCUAUUUCUUGAUAAUCAAAUUCAGUUCAAAUAAUAUUCUUGAGCUUCCAUCAUGUAGGAGGCACUGUGCUAGGACCUUGGUGGGGAUACAGGGCACUCACUUCGCAGUUACAGCUUAACUUGGAGACAGCCCUGAACAUUACUAAUGAAAUGCAGCACAGUGUGUGUUUCAGCUUGUAAUGGGGGCCGAGAAAGCAAAAAUUAGCUCAGACUGAGAAAAUAUAAAUCUGCAUUGCCCUUCAUGAGGCACAGAUAAAGCCAGCUGCAGAGUUAACAGGAAACAGUAUUUCUCCCAUGGACAUGCUGCAGCCAUAAUGUGUCAUAACAACUCUCUUCAAGUGACUGCUGCUUUCUUACUCACUGAGAAACUUUGUUUUCUAAAUAUCAUAGACUAUCAGAAAUUUUGCUAUUUGAAAUUAUAUCAGUAAGAUGAAAUAUCCCCCUUUUAUGUAAUUCACUUUGAUACAAAAGUUGCCUUGGCUUGCAAAUGAGGGACAGAGCUUCAAAUAAGGGUUUGGGAACACAGCACUGAACAUAUUAACUUUUGUUUCCAAGGAUACAGAACCCUAGGUCCAAUUUGUUGUUCAAACCUUAUGUUCAGACCCUGAACAUGUACAGCGCCCUGCCUUGCUCUGAGCCUAUCACAAUGUUGAUUUAUUUAAAUUUCACCCUUCCGCCCAAAUUGGUAAUUUCCGCAUUUCCUCCAUGUGCAGUACAUGUGCAGGUACUUUCAUAGCAAUGGAUAUUGUCAGACUAUUGACUUUGUCAGACUAUUGGUUUGCUUCUGGAAGACUUAGGCUGAUUGGGCUAGGACAGAUGUCCACUUUGACAAUUCUCAAUUUAGCAUUAAAUCUAUGUGUAAUGUAUUUACAUAAUACAUAUGUUGCAUAUAUCCAUGUAUCCUGUUUUUUCACUUUUAAUGGUUUUGUGUGUAGAUAAUUUUUCUUCCACAAAGUAAUAUCUCUUCUUGGAGGGUGGCGUCUGUGCUUAAAAUUCCAUCUGAUUUUUUUUUUUUUUUUCAGUGUCUUGACCAGCAUUGUGCAUGCAGUAGAUGUUCGAUAAACACUUUCCACAAAGAAGCUUCACAUCUUAGCUGUUUCUUUGAGACUUUCUCCAAGUUUGAAACCUAACAGACUGUGGUAUCCUCUUCCUCACAAUUCUACCUCUGCUUAAUAAAGUGCAAGUUACCCAGGCAAUGAGGCGCGGUGCAGUUGAAGCUUUUUAUAGCUCCAUCUGUCUGCAGUCACCUAAAUGUCAGUGGAUAGAUGUGUUUGUCAUAAUGUGCAGUAAGUGCAAGUAAGCCCCCCGUUAAUAGUCUCACUAGAGAUAAAAUAGAUUGACAGGAACUCAGAGGUGAUAAACUGUCAGAUUGCACUCUAAGGAAAUACAGCAUGUCAUUGGUAGCUGAAAAUGUGCAGAAGUAAACGCACAAUUCCUCACUCCAACCUGAUUUGUUUUCAAACCUUUGCGUAUUUACUUUUGUUCAUCCACCACUUUGGUUGAAAUAAACCAUUAAUUAAAAACAGCUCAGGAAAACCACUGAUGACGUUAAUAGAUCUCAACACAGCAGCAGCAAAACAGUCUCAAUUCACCGAACUGCCUUCCAGGCGGGCCUUGCCCUUUCUGUAGAGGAUGGUGGAGAAGCAAAAGUCUCUGGCUCUCAGGGGCUGCUGGGGGAUCGAUGUCGCUGAUCAUCUUAUGCCUGAAGUAAUGCUUUUCCUUGAAACUUAGGUAUGCAGGGAUUCAUAAAACCAGCAGAAAUAGGAAGUAACAGAGAAAGCCUUUUGAGUAACCAGGAAGGAUUUGGUAAAAGCCCACACGCUGCGUAAUCCGUGCUCUUUCCUCAUGGUUGUGCCCCUUAGUUCAUGUUUGCCUGACACGCGGUCCUGAAAGCUCUCUGUUCCAGUGUUUGCUCCCUAAUGAAUGUCAGUAUAUUAGAUUCUGAGCUAGUGACAAGGGACUUACCUGUGUUCCUGUCCUCACAUUCCUCUGGAUGUACUAAAUGGUUUGAUUAAGCCCGAUCACUUCAGUGAUGAACACUGGAACGGUUUUAUUUUUCUCCACAGAACGCGCGUGAAGGAAGCCGGGGAGAGUCAGUCGCAAUGUGUGUUGUUAUGUUCCUCAGGAUCCGCUGUUUUGUGGUCUGGUUGUGUUAUUAAAAUUGCAGUCUCAAGUCAUUUCAAAACCCCUGUCCUUUACCUCAGCUCAGAUUGGCCGGGGCUGCCCCAGCAACUUGACGCUAAGACGUCCAUGCACCUUCCACGUUGCCAAAGCAGACAUCCAACUGGAGGAUACGAUGCAGACAUCUCCAAACACCAGAAAACAUUCUCUUAGAGCCGGUCCCCCAGCCUGGGUGAGAGUCUGGGGACAAACUGAACACGUCCCUUACUCUUUGCGAAGGAGAGAGAGAAACCACGUUCUCGAGAAGAAAACUGAGGUGGUAACCCGCUCCCCGUCUCCAGCUGUCUUUAUCCCGUCUUUGUCCCCGCCAGGCUGACAACCAGUGCUUUACAGACCACUGUCUUCUGCGGCUCCUGAUGGAGUUUCCCAUAAUGCUGAACCAAAUGAUGCUGAGAUGCUGAACCAAACAUCUCCAGGAUGCUGUUCUUCCUGGCUGGCUCUCCCUCUACACUGAGUCCCCAGUCCUGCCGUCCCCAGUAUCACUCCAGGAGUGGGUUUCAUUUUCAGGACCACAUGUGUUGCCGGAGAUGCUCUGACCUGUUGUGAGCUCAUCUUCUGAUAUUUGGCAGGAAGAAUCUACACACGUCAGCAAGGCCUGAAUGCACCGUGUAUGUGAAAGAUAAUGAACAUUCCCAGUCAUGAUCCUAAGCCUUGGUUUUGAUCAUUUUUCCACAGAAAGAUUCAAUUCUGUUCAAUAAAUAUUAAAAAACAGUUGAAAAAAGAAAGUGUUUAAAGGAGUAUAUUUUUUGCUACCUGGAAAACGUUGACAACUAGUUAAAAAUAUAACUACCAGUUAUAUAUAUUACUACCAGUAAUAUAACUACUAUAAUUCCCUGGCAGUCCAGUGGUUAGGACUCUCUGCUUUCACUGCUGAGGGCACAGGUUCAAACCCUGGUUGGGGAACUAAGAUCCUGCAAGCUGUGCAGUGUGGCCAAAUUAAAAAAAAAUAAUACAAAACAAAAUAAAAAACUACUAUCUAUUGAACACCUACUCUGUGCUAGGCAGUGUUUUCGAUACUUCACACUUAAUCCCAUGAAUUGGGCAUCACUAGGUCCAUUUACAGAGGAGAAAAAUGAAGCUGAGUACGGAUGAAAGACUUGACCAAGGCAGAAUCCAUUUGGAUACAUGUAACAGAAAAAUCCAACUCAAAUGGAUUAACUAAAUAAAUAAGAAUGUAAUCUUGUAUUGAAGCAGUCUCUAGGUAGGUUACUCCAGGAUUGAUUAAUCUGAUAAUCCACUGACCUCAUCAGGGACCCUGUUUUCCCUAUCUUUCUGCCGUGCCAGUCUCUGCACGGGAGGCUCUGUGUUUGGGCUGUCUCUUCCCAUGGUUGACAGUGAAUGGUUGCUUUUUCAGGUCUCCUGUCCGGACAUAAUCACGUCCAGCAGCAGAAGAGACUUCUCUUCCUGGAUGAUCUUUUUUAAGAAAACGGGCAAUUUCCUACACGCCUCCCAGAAGAUUUCUCCUUACGUCUCCACGAGCUUUCCCCUUUUCACUUAAAGGGAGCACUUUCUUUGGUUGGCAUCCGAAUUGCCAGCACCAGCGCUCUUGUGCAUUGGGGUCAUCAUUCAGUAAAAUAAGGGUGACGAACACAAGCCCGGAAGCAUCCCAGCUGUUGAUCUGACACCAGUCGGCUCCUAAGUGACCAAUAGGCGGCUGCGCCCAACAAAGCGCUGAUUCACAUCCGGGCGGGAUUUAAAACCGCGCGAGAUUUCAUCAUGCUGCUCAGAAUGGCGCGCUCUUUAAAAGAUCCUUCAUACUGCAUGCCCGGAUGCUAUACCAGAUUUCACCAGUGAGGAGGUGUGAUUAGCCUGGGGUCUCCACCUUCAACAGAGAUGCUCCAGAUAAACUCUUCUUUCAAGCAGAGUUUGAGCUACACCGCAGAUAUGUAAUAUUCCAAAGUAUGGAUAUUUUAACUAUUUCACGUUCUUAAGAGUUCGGCACAAUGAGGCAUGAGCCGGUACAGAUUCUCUACAGAAGCCUCAAAGCUGAAAACGACAUGACCCAAUCACUCCCACGGUCUGCAGAUCUGGCCAAGGAGUUGCCAGACCUACGCAGGGCCUUCUUGGAGGUGGCCAGGUCAUCCUACGAUCCUUGCUCCCCGCUCCACACUUCUGUGCUCCCCAGACGCUCCCACCCACUUCUCCUAAGACAAGAGAGAAGAGCCUUGAAGCUGUGAGGCUGCUCUGGGGCUGCCCAUAGAACAGAGCAUGGAGGGGAGUUCUUGGGAGAACUUGACACAAGACCUUGGGUGAGAGAAGGAAUUGUGAGCUUAUAGACUGGUACCUACUGCUUGCAGGGGAAAUCUGGAAGAUGGAGGUGAGUGGGGCCAGCCUGUGUUGUCAGGGCUCUGGGCUGCCUGCCUCUGCACCGCUUAGCCUGCCGAGGAUUGGUGAGUCUCCCGUGGACCAAGUGGAUGCUGUGGAACAGAGCUUCUGGUUGAAGAGGGUGGCUGGCCAGGCUACAGGUCAGGCCUGAGCUGGGAGAAGGGGAGAGACUUUCCGCUGCAUGUGAGAUUGGAUUUUGAUUUAUAUGGAGUCGGACUUUCCAGUUCCUGAAAGUGUUACCAGAUUGCUUUUCCAAGAGGCUGUAACAUUUCAUGCUUCCACCUGAAAGUACAAUUUCUCCACACCUCAACCUGCACUUCUAGAGGCUGCCCACGUUCCUUGUCUCAUGGCUCUCCUUCUCCAUCUUCAAAUCCUGCGGCGGUAAGUCCGUCUCAUGCUGCCAUCUCGCUGAGUCUCUCUUCUCCCUCCCUCUUCCACUUCCAAAGACCAAAGUGAGUACAUUGGGCCUACCUGGAUAAUCCAGAUUCAUCUCCCCAUGUCAACGUCAGUUGAGUAGCAACCUCAGUUCCAUCUGCAAACUUCAUUCCCCUUUGCCAUAUAAAGUAACAUAUUCACAGGUUCCAGGGAUUCGGUCACAGACAUCUUUGAGGGGCCGUUAUUCUGCCACAGGUAACCAGGAGUAAGGGGGUCCAUCCGAGUGUCACAUUCAGUUAAUUGCUAAGUUUUAUUGAUAGUAUUUUGGAACUCCCAACAGAAACACCCUUAUCUUUUACAUCUCCCUUGCUGUUUUCCUUACUGCCUCUCACAUGUAAUGCUUUUCUAAUACAUUAAUAGCUACAGAAGUCCAGCUUUUAGAAAGAGUAAAAAUGAUUGAGCCACUGAAGUGACCUGGGCAGGCCUCAUGGAGGGGGCUGGCCUUAGGGAAGAUGAUGAAUGUACAGGACAGGUUUCCAGAAGGGAUAUCUUGGGACAAAUGUAAAGAUUUCAAGUUAUUAGGAAUGGCUAGGGAUAGGUGGUGAGAAGAAAGGGUCGUGUUGGGGAAGCCACAUCAAGGAAGGGGAUGAUUCGAGAGGCUCCUGAGUUCCAGCCUGACUAUGGGUUUGUGUAAACAUACAGAUUGGCCUUCUGCAAGAGCGUAAGAUUGGGCCACGUCCUGGCCAGCCUGAUCCUGCCGGUGAGGAGGAACUGUGAGGCCCUGAUACUGCUCUGCUCUGCCCCUCAGACGUGGGAUGGAAAUGAAUCGUGAAUCUUCAGUUUCACCAAGAGCCUGCUUUGUAAACCAGUUUGAGGCCCACGCUCUUUGCAGCAUCCCAUUCAAAGAAAUUCAGGGUUUUCUCUUGCUGGCUGCCUCCAAGUUCCCAGGGUUUCACACAUUCUGCACCGGGCGGGCUCGCCAGGACAUCGAAGACCACUACCAACAGCUGCUACAAGUUUAAAAUCUUUAGAAGAAGGAACAGAUUGCAGUUUGCUCCUGAGGGUCACCACAGAGCACUGAGCAGAGUUCCCUGUGCUAUACGAGACCCUGGGUUGCUUGUUUCCGUAAAGGCUGCCUGUCAUCUCUUAUGGGACCUUCACGUGUCAGUGAUACCGGUUACCUCACGUCACAGCCCAUCAGUCGGCUUAUCUCCAGAAGAAUGUGAAAUUGCCUAACAAGCCUGCAAAUGUGAAGGGCUCCACGGUGGCUUAAUCACACAUGAUGUUCCCCUGUCUCAUCAGUCCCCAUACUGAGGCUGCACCUCUCAUUUCUUAGACAGAUACAUUUCCUAGAGCUGUGGCUGGGCUAUCCCAGUUGUGUGGGGUUUUAACUCCCAUUUCCCAAUUCCGGGAUGAAUUUCAUUCUGGAAGCCCUCCCGUGCCCUUCUCCCCACCUUAGAAUCUUUCAAUCAUCUCCUUCCCUAAAACUGAUCUGGGCAAUCUGGCAACAUGGCAAAAUUAUUUUAGCCCAGGCUUUUAACUGUGUUUGGAGUGAGUGAUAGCCUUGGAAACUUACUUGGGGGUAAUGCACACAUCCAAGUAUAUAUGUCCAGCAACGUUUGCCACUUCGGGAGGGUGUGUACUCCCUUGAUGCUCACCCUCUUUGCAGAAUUCUCCUGCCAGGGUCUUCUGUAAUCCACUAGCUGUCAGCAGGGAUGGUUGUGAUCAAAACUGCCCCCUCCAAAAACGGUGCACAUUCUGUGAAGUGAAAGACAUCAUGGUGGAUGCAAAGAUGAAUAAAGCGAUGGUCCAGCCCUCAACAAGGCAGAGGACCAUACAUUGUAUCAAAGAAAUUUUAAAGGUAAAAUGACUGAACCCAAAGAGACAUUUUUGCUGAGAUGGGAUGAGCUGAAAAGAGAUGUGUUCCCUGAAAAUUUCUGAAGAUGUGACUGUGGAAGCCAAUAUGAUAAUACAGAAUGAAAGUCAUGUACUGCCAGCGGAUUUAGGUGUUUUCUCGCCAAAUGUUAUGUUUGUUAAGACUGAGCUAUCAUCAAAACAAAACAAAGGAGUCGUUCAGGAAAUUGAAAGUCCCGGAAGAGCAUGUCUGAUUUUUUCCAAGCUCAGGUCAGCUGCUCACACUUUGUUUGGGGCAAGAGAGGCACAUUGAUUUACAGCUCCACCAGGACUGCACACAAUGAGGGAGAGGUGAGGCCCCUCCCCCCGCCCAAAGAAAUUUGGAGAAAAGGAAGGGAACAAAAACCAUAAGAGCCUAUUACCGGGAGUGAGUGCUUUGAGGAUAAAUGAUUUAAUUUGACUGCAUGAUUGAAGUAACAGGAUUGAAGCGCCUUCCUUUGCUAUGCAGACUGCACUGGGGAAAAUUAGUGGGCUCUGGCCCAAACCUGGUAUUUAGCCAGAUUUGAUUUUGCAAUUAGUGAAAUCUUCUAUCGGUUUGUGAUUUGACUUUGCUGCCACAUUUCUGAUAAAUUUAUAUUAGUGACGGUAAUAUCUAGAAAGCUAAAAAUUCCUCGGUUAUAAAUGAACACUUUUCAUUAAUAUUUAGAGAUUAAACUCAUUUCUUAUGAGCAGAUGGAAACAAAUGAUAACUUGGCCUUUACUGUACAAAAUUAAACAAUUUAUCAACAUUUAGGCAAACUGGAGGCGAGUUUUAAGUGCUAGAAU